rnacentral:rRNA from 1 species
GUUGGGUAGGGGAGCGUUCUGUAAGCCUGCGAAGGUGGCCUGUGAGGGUUGCUGGAGGUAUCAGAAGUGCGAAUGCUGACAUAAGUAACGAUAAAGCGGGUGAAAAGCCCGCUCGCCGGAAGACCAAGGGUUCCUGUCCAACGUUAAUCGGGGCAGGGUGAGUCGACCCCUAAGGCGAGGCCGAAAGGCGUAGUCGAUGGGAAACGGGUUAAUAUUCCCGUACUUGGUGUUACUGCGAAGGGGGGACGGAGAAGGCUAUGUUGGCCGGGCGACGGUUGUCCCGGUUUAAGCGUGUAGGCUGGUUUUCCAGGCAAAUCCGGAAAAUCAAGGCUGAGGCGUGACGACGAGGCACUACGGUGCUGAAGCAACAAAUGCCCUGCUUCCAGGAAAAGCCUCUAAGCAUCAGGUAACAUCAAAUCGUACCCCAAACCGACACAGGUGGUCAGGUAGAGAAUACCAAGGCGCUUGAGAGAACUCGGGUGAAGGAACUAGGCAAAAUGGUGCCGUAACUUCGGGAGAAGGCACGCUGACAUGUAGGUGAAGUGAUUUACUCAUGGAGCUGAAGUCAGUCGAAGAUACCAGCUGGCUGCAACUGUUUAUUAAAAACACAGCACUGUGCAAACACGAAAGUGGACGUAUACGGUGUGACGCCUGCCCGGUGCCGGAAGGUUAAUUGAUGGGGUCAGCGCAAGCGAAGCUCCUGAUCGAAGCCCCGGUAAACGGCGGCCGUAACUAUAACGGUCCUAAGGUAGCGAAAUUCCUUGUCGGGUAAGUUCCGACCUGCACGAAUGGCGUAAUGAUGGCCAGGCUGUCUCCACCCGAGACUCAGUGAAAUUGAACUCGCUGUGAAGAUGCAGUGUACCCGCGGCAAGACGGAAAGACCCCGUGAACCUUUACUAUAGCUUGACACUGAACAUUGAGCCUUGAUGUGUAGGAUAGGUGGGAGGCUUUGAAGUGUGGACGCCAGUCUGCAUGGAGCCGACCUUGAAAUACCACCCUUUAAUGUUUGAUGUUCUAACGUGGACCCGUUACCCGGGUUGCGGACAGUGUCUGGUGGGUAGUUUGACUGGGGCGGUCUCCUCCUAAAGAGUAACGGAGGAGCACGAAGGUUGGCUAAUCCUGGUCGGACAUCAGGAGGUUAGUGCAAUGGCAUAAGCCAGCUUGACUGCGAGCGUGACGGCGCGAGCAGGUGCGAAAGCAGGUCAUAGUGAUCCGGUGGUUCUGAAUGGAAGGGCCAUCGCUCAACGGAUAAAAGGUACUCCGGGGAUAACAGGCUGAUACCGCCCAAGAGUUCAUAUCGACGGCGGUGUUUGGCACCUCGAUGUCGGCUCAUCACAUCCUGGGGCUGAAGUAGGUCCCAAGGGUAUGGCUGUUCGCCAUUUAAAGUGGUACGCGAGCUGGGUUUAGAACGUCGUGAGACAGUUCGGUCCCUAUCUGCCGUGGGCGCUGGAGAACUGAGGGGGGCUGCUCCUAGUACGAGAGGACCGGAGUGGACGCAUCACUGGUGUUCGGGUUGUCAUGCCAAUGGCACUGCCCGGUAGCUAAAUGCGGAAGAGAUAAGUGCUGAAAGCAUCUAAGCACGAAACUUGCCCCGAGAUGAGUUCUCCCUGAGACUUUAGGUCUCCUGAAGGAACGUUGAAGACGACGACGUUGAUAGGCCGGGUGUGUAAGCGCAGCGAUGCGUUGAGCUAACCGGUACUAAUGAACCGUGAGGCUUAACCUUACAACGCCGAAG